CUUGUACAAAAAUAUGAUGG
rnacentral:siRNA from 1 species